AAUCUGCUUUUUUAGGUAUCUGCCAUCUACAAGGAAAACACAAAACCUACCUUUGCUCCAGAUGUGCACUGCGAGGUGACUCAGCAUGGAAGGUCGCAAUAAUUCCUACGGAUGCUGCAACAACUACACUGAAGACAUUGUUGCUGGCAUCUGCCUUUCCUCCAUCCCCACGCCCUUCAGGGUUACAGAAGUGUGUUUAUUUCUGCCCUCUUUAUCUCCUUGCCUAAAAUGCCAGCUGCUACCUUGUUGUCUCCCUCCAAACCAAAAGUAACUGACCAUAACCCACAGUCCCUGCCCAUCAAAAUGAGGGGGCAGUGGCUUGGACAUCGAAUCUCAUCAACAAAUAUCAUAACAGAUAUCCAUUUACUUACUGUAUGAUCUUAACCAAGUUUUUGAAAUCUUCUGAAUCUAAGUUUUCUUAAAAAUAGAAUGGGAAAAGCAAAGCUAGUUUGGAGAGUUAUUAUGAGGAUUAAAAGAAAUAAAGAACAAACAAUGCUUGGCACAUAAUACUUGCUCAACAAAUGUUGGUUUCCUUUUAUUCCACUAGAAGGUAACCCUAGAAUUAUUUUGGAAAUCAUCCUUUUAACCUGAUCCUUUGACCUUGAUAACCCAGAGACAAUGCCAGGCCAGGGUUCAGCAGAGAUGGAAACCAGCUUGUAGCUGCUCCUGUUUAGGCCAUUCCCUCCCCCAACCACUCUUCCUCCUUCACACAAGCCCAC
rnacentral:lncRNA from 1 species